AUUGAACGCUGGCGGCAGGCCUAACACAUGCAAGUCGAACGAGUGGCGGACGGGUUAGUAAUGUCUGGGACACUGCCCGAUGGAGGGGGAUAACUACUGGAAACGGUAGCUAAUACCGCAUACCAUCGGAUGUGCCCAGGGGGGAUUAGCUAGUGGGUGGGGUAACGGCUCACCUAGGCGACGAUCCCUAGCUGGUCUGAGAGGAUGACCAGCCACACUGGGACUGAGACACGGUCCAGACUCCUACGGGAGGCAGCAGUGGGGAAUAUUCGGAAAUGGGCGCAAGCCUGAUGCAGCCAUGCCGCGUGUGUGAAGAAGGCCUUCGGGUUGUAAAGUACUUUCAGCGAGGAGGCGGUACUCACAGAAGAAGCCCCGGCUAACUCCGUGCCAGCAGCCGCGGUAAUUC
rnacentral:rRNA from 1 species